rnacentral:rRNA from 1 species
CCUACGGUGGCUGCAGUGGGGAAUAUUGGACAAUGGGCGAAAGCCUGAUCCAGCCAUGCCGCGUGUGUGAAGAAGGCCUUCGGGUUGUAAAGCACUUUCAGUGGGGAAGAAAGCCUUGGGGCUAAUACCCUCGAGGAAGGACAUCACCCACAGAAGAAGCACCGGCUAACUCCGUGCCAGCAGCCGCGGUAAUACGGAGGGUGCGAGCGUUAAUCGGAAUUACUGGGCGUAAAGCGCGCGUAGGCGGUCUGAUAAGCCGGUUGUGAAAGCCCCGGGCUCAACCUGGGAACGGCAUCCGGAACUGUCAGGCUAGAGUGCAGGAGAGGAAGGUAGAAUUCCCGGUGUAGCGGUGAAAUGCGUAGAGAUCGGGAGGAAUACCAGUGGCGAAGGCGGCCUUCUGGACUGACACUGACGCUGAGGUGUGAAAGCGUGGGUAGCAAACAGGAUUAGAUACCCCGGUAGUC